rnacentral:rRNA from 1 species
UACGAGAGGCCCAAACGUUUAUUCGGAAUUACUGGGCUUAAAGAGUUCGUAGGCGGCAUGAAAAGUAGGGUGUGAAAGCCCUCGGCUUAACCGAGGAAUUGCGCUCUAAACUGUCGUGCUAGAGGAACCUAGAGGUGAGCAGAACAGAUGGUGGAGCGGUGAAAUGCGUAGAUAUCAUUUGGAACGCCAAUGGUGAAAACAGCUCGCUGGGAAUGAUCUGACACUGAGACGCGAAAGCCAGGGGAGCGAACGGG